GGGUGCUGUCACAGGACCUAUGUUGAUGGAGAACUUGUUCAACGCAGGCCACACAGCCUCCUUUUGGAUUUCCUCAAUCAGCUUUUCAUCAUCCUCCGUGGGGUUGCUCCAGAGAGAGCACCUGGAACAUUCCUGGCAAGAGGCUCCUGGAAAGAGAGGGUGCUGGUCAUAGCCGUUGAUAGAAACACGACAGACAUAGCACAUCUGGGGACCACAGCGGCAAGACAUGCGGUUGCAGCCUUCAGAUUUGAUGAGGAGGGCCCCACACUGGUGGCAUUUUCUCAUGGGAGGAGCAGUCGUUUUUUGUUUUUUGUUUUUUGUUUUUGAUAGAUGUCCUGUACUUGACGUCAUCUUUUUCAGCCAGCUCCUCACAGGAACUUCUGGGAAGGAACCAUAGAUGUCCUCCUUCCUCACUGAGCAGGAGCAUCAGCUGAACAAGGUGGAAAAAUUGACCCUUCAUCUACAGAUGAUAACAAGGAGAGGAAUGAACUGACCCAUUAUACCAGCAAUGAUUUGAACAGCAGGCAUUCAUCAUGCCCCGUUCUCUGGUGACUGUCUUGACCCUCCUAUGUCAAGCCCAGCAUUCCUCAGGUCAUUGCAGGCUCCACCUCCAGAGUGUCCUUCUGCCCAAAUAAAUUUUCCUGAGUAUAUCUGAGGCAGAACUGAGGCCUGGGCAAGAAUGAGAUGGGGACGCAGGCUGUUCUGCUUCCUCCAAAAGAAAAGCAGAGCCUGUGGCCUGAGUCACAUUCGACUGUUAGGGGCAGUAGUGUGUGAGCUUACAACAUGCAUUUCAAGAAGGUUUGAUAGGUGUUGGCUUGUGGGAGAUGCUGGGUGCUAUGGGUUUAUGGUGAGUCUUUGUAUUUGACUAGGUGAUUUUUUGCUGGUUGUUCUGGGAGCAGGUUGAAGGGCUUGCCCUACUUGGUCCAUCUGGGUGUGUGACUGGAAGGCCUGGAGUUCAUCCCAGGUCCUCUCUGAUCUUGUUCCUUGCACUCUGAGACAAGGCCACCAACCUGCAUUUCUUUGACAUAAUAAUUCUGUAUGGGUUUUGUGUGUGUGUAUGAAGGUCUCUCGAACAGGCCCCAAUACUGCAAAUAUGGCAGCAGCAGGUUUUGCUCUUUUCACUUCCCUCUCCCCUGAUAUACUAAUAGACUGCAUUCCUAAAUUUAGUUUCCAAGGACCAUUCUCUUGUUUGGCCACAGACCCAUUACUGAGACUAUGCACCACAGUCCAGCAAUCAAAAUUCAGUAGUUGGUUACACUAACUAACCUGUUGAAUUAGAUUUCACCAACUUACCCUAGCACAGACUUUUCCCCCUCUUCUCUUUAAAAAAGAAAAUCUGUUUGAUAUCUAUUCUUGUGUGACGAAGAUGCAGUCUUUCCCCAAUCUCAUUCUUAUCCUCCUGAGGUAAUAAUCUCCUAUGUGUUGCAGUGUCUGAGUGUGUUCUGUACUGUCUUCCAGGGGCUCCCUUAUAUAUAUAUAGUGUGUGUGUGUGUGUGUGUGUGUGUGUGUGUGUGUGUGUGUGUGUCCAGAUCCUGUGAGGCAGAGAUUGGUAGCAGGGCUUAGGAUUUGUGGGUCUCAGAGUUUCCAGGUGAUAUAAGUGCUGAGGCCAGGGAGCCACACUUUGAGCAUCACUGCUCUCAGCCUUUGUGCUCACCUUGGUGCAUCAUCUGAAUCUGCUUGGGAGUUUACAAUGCUAAUCUCAUGUAGUGUCUCCUCCAUGGAAACACUAAUUACGAAUUCUUGGCAUCCUUGUAGUAAUAGGAACACAGGAUAAACAAUCCAUGUUCUGAAGACAGGGGAAAUGUCAUCACAGGCUUUAGGUAGGCCCAGACCUGUGGCACAGACUCCUGGGACCUUCUUACAGAGCUAGUCUUGAAAGACCCGCUCGAAAUGCCCCUGAGCCCCCUGCCCCGAAGCUGCCGGGGCCUCCCAAGCCUUCACCCCGGCAGGGCUCGCGCCCCCGGCCCGCCCCGCCUGGCACCGCGCCUCGGGGCUGGGGCCGAGCAACGAGCACCAGGUGGGCCGGCACGAGAACGAACACCAAGUGAGCCGGCCUGGAGCCCUGCCCCUGAGCCCUGCCCGAUGAGAAACACUCCGUCCCAAGGUCUCCGCCCCCAAGGUCAGCCAUCUGGACGCGGAGGGAGGGGGAAUUGAGUCUGUUGUACCAGACACCAGACCUUGAGAAUAUGCUGAUCUGGAAUGGCUCUGUGUCUCAUUUGAACCAUCCAAUGGAAAUGAUUCUGUAUUUCGCCUCAUUUGAAUAACCCUGUAUAGCGCCUCAUAUACAUUGACCAAUGGGAAUAGCUCUGUACAAUGCCUCAUUAGAAUUAUCCAAUAGAAUCCCUGCUCCUAGCUUGCACCUUUUUCCCUAUAUAAGGACCCCUUUCCCUUGGCUCGGGGCGCUUAGCCACACAAAGGCUAAGUCGCCCCGGGUACCCGCGUCUCCAAUAAAGCUUCUUG
ensembl:lncRNA